GUGCUUGCUUCAGCAGCACAAAUACUAAGAUUGAACUGAUACAGAGAAGAUUAGCAUGGCCCUUGCGCAAAGACAUGCAAAUUUUUGAAAGAUAAAAAUAUAUAUUU
ensembl:snRNA U6 U6 spliceosomal RNA